AUUUAAUUUCCGUUUUAGUCCAUCAGUUUGGAUAGUAAGAGAUUCAUCUCUUGAUAAACAUUCAAGUUUUUGAUUGAAGAUUUUUUUAAAAUUAGUUACACUGGCAGAUAAACUUGUUUUAGAGAUCUUACAGGAAGCAUUUUCUCAGCAGCUAAUGGAACUAGUACUGGUACCAUGACAUCCUUGGAAAACUUGAAGUAGGCGCGAUUUGAAGAUUUACUCAAAAAACAGCCUCUCCUAGAAUACACACGUGGCGCUAUCUCUCCAACACAGCAUGAGACUAUGAACUAGAUUACUAAUUAACAAUUGAGCCGCUCAGUGCACACAUCGAUUAACUCCACUUUUUGAAAAAUCUUAAAUUUAAGUGUCAAAGCACUUGGUAUAGUCAUAACUUUUUAUAUUUAUAAUAACUUUCCUGAAUAAUAAAGAUUAGCACCAUUAAACGGCAAAAUUUUUUUGGUCAUUGAAUAAUAAGUAAUUACAAUAUACAUUACUUCAUCGCAUUUCUCAACUUUUUGUUUUAUGGAGUUAAUCGAUGUGUGUACUGAACGGCUCAAUUGUACUAGUAACAAAUUCGAAGAUGUAUUCACGAGUAUAUAUUGCACCUUAUGUAUCUACAAAUAAAACUUUGAAUAUUUAUUUUAAACCGUAUAUUCGUAUGCCAUUUCCCUUACAAAUUUUCCGAACAAAGCAAUUCUAGUGUUUAGACUGCGUCUAAUUUUUACACAUGCGCCUGCUCAGUUAGAUCUCCCCACUCCGCACUCCUUACUAGCUAUGCCUAAGGUCCUCCCGCUCUAUCACGGCUCAUUGCCGCUCAUGGCACGGCACGGUUUGUGUCACUUAGGGGACUGUGUCGUGUUCGAUGAGUAUCCCUAAGCUUGAGGGGCACAGUGAGGAGACCAAAGUGGUAAUGGAACUUGAGUUCCAGUUGUACAUUGUGAUGUUACAUCACACUGACCGAACUCAUUUCUAUUGCUAAGUCUAUAAGCUUAACGUGGUACAGCUUACUCUCCAUUCAAUUCAUCAAUAAUAU